AUUGGAAAAAUCUAAUAUUUUAUUUUUAUUUUUUUCUAUUUUUUAUUUUUAAUUCUCAUCAAGAGAAAUAAGUCAUAUGUAAAAUAUACAUAUUUUUGCCAAUCGAUUUUGUUUGACAAUUGUAAUACAUCGUAAAAUGAAUAAAUAAAUUCGAUUUUUACGACAGUUGCGAUGAAGAAAAAGUAAAAAUCGAAGUAAAAAAUGAAUGCAACAUUGGUUAGUUUCUAAAAAAUGGGCGAGAUUGUUAAACCAAAUAUCGAUAUGAUAGAUUAUAUAAAUGCAAAGAAAACAGAUUAUUCUGGAUAUAUGUCGCAUUUUCAAUCUGCGUCAAAUUCAUAUGAGAAGCCGCGAAACGACGUGUGACUACAUCGCGUUGACGCGUCUGGAUAGAAAAAAGAAAAACGAAAAAGAAAAAGAAAAAGAAAAAGAGGAUAAAGUUGGUCGAAGCGAAACGAGAUGCGACUUAUGGCGAAGAAAGAUAGGACGAACAGCAGUUACGCCUGGCGAGAUAUGGUAAAGAGAGGUGAGGUGAGGUGAAACGAGGCAGGAUAAAGCGCGACGAGACGAAACAUGGAACAGAUAGGUGAGAGGCAAGAGACGAAGCAACUGAGAGAAAGAAGGGUGAGAGGAAGUGCCGGGUCACCGCGCGUCCCCCACCAGUUACACGCGCCCCAAUAGAAGAGGCGGCGCUUACGACCACACCGGUCUCUAUAUAAAAGAGACAAACCCCCCGAUCUGAUUAGCAAAGUUUCAAACACACGUAAAAGUGCAUUUCACUUAUAUUUUAUACGAUUUAAGUUUACGGAUAAACAAAAAAAAUAAUAAAAAAUUUAUAACACAGAUAUAAACUAUAUUUUCACGUGUUUAAAUCGAAGGAAAAACGUAUCAACACAGAAAAUCAAAUUGAUACCAAUAAUUAGCGAUAAAUGAAGAAUCAUCUAAAGAUAAUUGAUAAACUGAAGUGGUAAUAGAUCAGAAAAAUUUUGAAAAAUCGAAAUUGUAAAUGUGAGAAGUCACAUAGAGACGCAUGCCACAAGCGCGGUAAAUGUAGCAGGAAUAGCGCGGCGAAUCAGGAACGUAGGAAACAUACAAAGCAAACAACAGGGAAACAACGGAUAACACGGCACGACACGGCACGGUACUGUACGAACAACAGCAACACUAGAGAGCAGGAGGGUAGCUGUGGUGUCGCUGGUACCGCUUAGCAGUGGUGGUAGUUCGAGUUCGAGCUAACUAAGAAAUACGUUGAACCGUCCACGCGGCAUCAUUUAGACUUUAACCAUUCCCUGCGCAGUCUUGUAAGGGUGGUUUGUGUACACGUGGGAAAAGAAAGCGAAAAAAAAAUAGCUUUUACGCGCGCGUUUCAUUUAUUUGAAAAAUAGAUUGCGUGAUUCAUUUUCAAAAUCUUCAUUAUCGAAAACUAUAUUUUCAUCAAAGUUGUAUCGAAUGAAACAUUAUUUAUUGCGCAUAGCAAAUACAAGCGACUCGUGACACAUUAUUAAGGACACUGUAAACGAGAUUGCAAGUCACGAGAAAUUUCACAGAAAGGAAUAUACUUAGUUUGCACGACAAGAGAAGUUGCAAAGCAUCAAACCAAAAAAAGAGGUAGCAACGGGUAAAAAAGAAGAAAGUCGAUAGAGUUUCGAGAAUUUGGUUGCGAGUUGAAUGUGAAGAUUCACGUGACGCGAUCCAGUUCGACCAGGCGACAACACGCAGCACUGACACAACGCGAACAUUUUGAGGCGUGACGACAAAAUGUCCAAUUCCGAAAGGAGACAGAUGCAGAAAUGGCCUCUGUGCCUAGUACCUCUUUCAAGAACGAAGGAUUUGUCUACCAGAAUCAUCGAUCGGCAUGUACGAUCUACACACAUGAAUCUAAAGAUGACAUGAAAUUUUGUAACACAACAAAAAAUUUUUUAAUAAAUUAUUAUUUUUAAUAAAUUA